AUCCCUUUAUAGUUCACAAACAUGAUGAUUGGGUUUUCACACUUAUGUGUAAGAUUUCCCUUCCUCAAAUCUUGUUAUGACAUGGACACAAUAUCUGUUUAAUG
ensembl:snoRNA